CUGUGUCAUAAUGACGUCACGUCGAACGCACCUGUUAACGUGUAGUAGUCAGACGAUAAGCAGGUAUUAUUUUCCUGAACCUAUUGCGACACGACGCGGAAUUUAGGCUUCGAAAGUCAAGGGGUCAUCAUGGGGUCAUGGAUGCUGGUUUGGAUUCUGUGUAGCACAGUCACUCAGAUGCCUGUGUGUCUUCAUGGAACAAUAUCAGUCCGCUUUAAGACUGGACGGCCUCUCUAUGUGGCACUCGGCCAAACUCUUGUUUUGGAAGCCGUAUUCAAGAAGGAUCCAGACGACAAGAUAGACAUGGUGACGUGGGACCGCGAGAGAGGAAGGGACAAUGUCAGACUGUCACAUGGAAACAGAAUAUCUUUGGAGAAAGGAGAUGCACUUCUGCGGGUCACUGAUGUUGCAGAAGGGGACUUCGCGAUCUACAAGGUCACCGUUACAGACAGUAACGGAUACCAGCAGCAAGACUCCAUAGAAGUACGAAAGAUAGUGGAACCUCCAAAGGCGUCAAUUACACGUGUGCUGGAGUGUGUUGUGGAUAAUCAUGGCGUGACGCAGUGGGACAGCCCUCAGUUUUCAUGGCUGGUUGAUGGCGUUACAGUAACUAAUCAAUCCGCCCUGUUAGCAGACGGCAGUAGACUAGAUAUCUCUGAGGUUAAGGGUGUUAACUACACCUGCAUCAUCAAGAGCAGCCUGGGGACACUCACAACGCAUUAUGAAAUACCAAAAGAAUCUCAGCCCUGUUGUGCGGGACUGAUUGCAGUUGGAGUUGUAACCGCAAUAGCACUUGUGGCCGGAUCAAUUUUCCUGAAGAUGCACAGAAAACCCCAUAUACCUGCUCCCUACUAAGUCCACAUAGAUGAUUUUAUUAUAUUUAUUUACAUGUUAAUAUACCUGUAAACAUUUGUGUUUAUUCUACUCGUGCCACUGUGAUCAUAUCAUCUGUAGAUUUGAUAAAGUUC
rnacentral:lncRNA from 1 species